UGAGGAAUUUUCCGCAAUGGACGAAAGUCUGACGGAGCGAUACCGCGUGUAGGAAGAAGGCCUUCGGGUUGUAAACUACUGUCGUCGGGGAAGAAAAAAAUGACGGUACCCGAAAAGGAAGCACCGGCUAACUCUGUGCCAGCAGCCGCGGUAAGACAGAGGGUGCAAGCGUUGUCCGGAUUUAUUGGGCGUAAAACGUCUGUAGGCGGUUCAUUAAGUCUGAAGUCAAAUAGUUUAGCUCAACUAAACCUCGCUUUAGAUACUGAUGGACUUGAGUGUGCUAGAGGUUAGUGGAAUUCCCGGUGUAGUGGUAAAAUACGUAGAUAUCGGGAGGAACUCCGGUGGCGAAAGCGGCUAACUGGGGCAUAACUGACGCUGAGAGACGAAAGCGUGGGGAGCA
rnacentral:rRNA from 1 species